ensembl:rRNA 5S_rRNA 5S ribosomal RNA
GCUUACGGCCAUACCACCUUAGGCACGCCCGAUCUCGUCUGAUCUCGGAAGCUAAGCAGGGUCGGGCCUGGUUAACUACUUGGAUGGGUGACCGCCUGGGAAUACCAGGUGCUGUAAGCA